rnacentral:lncRNA from 10 species
CAAAAAUGGGUUAGACCAUGUUUUUCUUCUUCCUGCGACUGCAGAGAUGAAGGGAAUGAAGGUUAGCUCAUGAAUGGUAUGGGGCUGGUGUUUUGGAGUAUACUGGGGGUGGCAGCAGGGGCAACUAUUUGGGAGUUAAAAGGUCCUGGCGCUGGAUAUAGAGAUGGAUUGUGGCAAAGGACUACUAUGAGAAAAUAGAAAAGGAGGCAAGCUGUAAUUGUGUUUAUCAAUCCUUUUGAAUUUUGAAACUUCAAUUUCCACAAAAGAGCUGAUGGAUGGAUGUCAAGAAAAAUGUCGCUGGGGACUUAUUCCUUGUUGGAGUAAUUAACACGCCAGAAUCCUGCUAGGACAUCUCUGCCUGUGGAAGGAGGGCUGGAUGGCAUACUGGGAAUGGCUUUCUAGGAUGACUUCCUGUUGCUACAGACUACAAGAAGCAUUUCUGGCCUUGAUGUUGUCUGAAUGAAGAAGACAUAGGAGUUUCACCAAAGGUAGGAUCCUGAUUGUUACACGAACUGUCCACCUCCAUCCAGAGCCGUGUGGCUUGUAGUGCCUUCUCGUGGCAGGUAUAUUUUCCUGCCUGUUCACGUGACUUGUGUUGGCCAGUGGAAUAUAGUUUGAUCUGCAGUAGUUUGAAUCUGAGGAUGCUGAACCUGUGGAUAAGGAGAGCCUACUUUUCUUGGACAAAUGCCCUGUGUCAGAAGAGUGUGGUAAACAGAAGCUCAGCUCCUUCAAGGAUGACAGCCUUGGUUACACCACCAGUUUCUCUAGGAAAAGAGACCAAAGUCAGGGAGCAGUCGUUUUCACAUGGGAUGAACUCAGUGUAAGAGGCAAGCAGAUUGUGGAAGAUUAGAAGAUAAUGGAUACUAUUAUUCCAUCCAGAUUCCUCUUCAGGACCAAGGACUCAUUUUCCAGCUGGCAGGAAUGUUAGCUACUGACGGCCAUGGCUGAGUUCCUCUUCAGGAAUUAUCCUCCACUUGAGGGGAAUUGCUUUGUUCAGUGUUACACUCCCUCUAUAGUGGCAGCCCACACUGGUUGAUGUGGGGUACAAAGUCCUGGACCUUGUCUUAGAUGGGAUAGUUCUGAAGGGCUAUUCCAGCUCCAGAACUCCUCAUAGGAUUGGCUGAGGUCUCCUCUGCAACUGGAUCACAGUUCAACUUUUUCUUCUGCCCAGUCCUUCUUCUCUCAUCUGUUGCCAGUUUUAUUCGUGUGAGCAUUCGGAUCACCAACGCUGUGACCUCGCUGUGUGAACGGGAGCUACUACAGGAAGGAAGCUUACAAAUGAGCUGCAUGGAUCCCACAUUUUGCUAAAAUCAAAUAGGACCUUUCUCCUCUUUGUUGAAUGCCGUAAUACACAAGAAAUAAGCCAGCAGGAUGCUCAUGUCCAAGGUUUCCCUUUAUCUACCACACGAGUUGGCAUGAAACAACUUCUGGGGUUCAAAUCUUCUGAACAAUGAUACAAGUCUUGGCAAAUUUCAAGAAUAAUUUAAAGAGGAAAUAAAUAGCUUUUUGUUUAACUUGGAUCAAUUAUCUCCUAUUGCUCCCAGCUUCAUGCCAGGUACUCUCCACUGUGCCUGGGAAAUAUGAAUCCCUGCCCUCAUGAAAAAACAUUGGCCAUGAGGAUUUUCCCUACAACCCAAGAACUAUUUGAAGUUUGAAGUCUUUCAGCCCAGACAACACUGGCUAUUUUCACCUUUGCCUUCAACUAUAAAGGCUGGGCUCUCUCUGCAGGAGUGGGUUACUGCUGGCAGAACAGAGAAAGAGAGAGAGCAGGAGAGAGAGAGACAGACAGAAUCCACUAGUAGAAUAAGCCAUGAUCACCACUCAAAACUUUUGCUACUACUUGAUCAGUACCUGGAAUUCUGAGGAAAACCCUAUUAGAGAUUGCAAAUCCAGUAAAUAAAGGCAGCAGUGGUACCUUGUUAAAAACAUCAAAUCCAAAGUGCUCUGAGGAGGAAUAUGUACGGUGUGUUCUAGGGACAGAAAAUAAGACAAACGUGGCUGGAGUAUUGGAAGGGGAAGUGAGUGUUACUAGAGAAGGUCAUGAGGUGAGGCGGGCCAGAUCAUAUGGGUCUGUGUAAGCUAUGGCAAGGAGUGUGGAUUUUAUUCCAAGUAAGAUGGAAAGCCUUUAUGAAGUUUUAAAAACGGCAGUGUUAUGAUUUGUAACAUCUGAGUUUAUGUUUACAUCGUGGCCAAAUUAUUUUAUAAAAUAAUGUAAUAAUGGUUCAACAGUUUGAUUGUGUUGCCCUUAAAAUUUCACAAGACUUAAAAUUUUCUACACUAUUCAUUUCAGUAUUGACUGUAAUUUAAUAACUCAAUUAGUAAUGUUAAAUAAAUUAUUUGUUACUACCUAUUGAAAUUAUAUAUAUAUAUACACACAC